UGGGGAAUAUUGCACAAUGGGGGAAACCCUGAUGCAGCGACGCCGCGUGAGCGAAGAAGGUUUUCGAAUCGUAAAGCCCUGUCCUAUGGGAAGAUAAUGACGGUACCAUAGGAGGAAGCCCCGGCUAACUACGUGCCAGCAGCCGCGGUAAUACGUAGGGGGCAAGCGUUGUCCGGAAUCACUGGGCGUAAAGGGUUCGCAGGCGGAAAUGCAAGUCAGUUGUGAAAGGCAGAGGCUCAACCUCUGUAAGCAAUUGAAACUGUAUUUCUUGAGAUGUGGAGAGGCAAGUGGAAUUCCUAGUGUAGCGGUGAAAUGCGUAGAUAUUAGGAAGAAUACCGGUGGCGAAGGCGACUUGCUGGACACAAACUGACGCUGAGGAACGAAAGCGUGGGUAGCAAACAGG
rnacentral:rRNA from 2 species